rnacentral:lncRNA from 1 species
UAAUGAUCAUGAUGAUAAAAAUUUAAGUCGGAUGUAUUUCUUAUGACAACUAAUCAUUUUCAAAAGAGAUUAAAGCUGAGUAAACAUGUUUGUAUAACAGUUAAAAUGACAUGUUUAUGGUGGCCGCUAAUUAACACCUUUGUUGAUCGUUCAAGCGGAAUGUUAGUGUGUUGAACAUUUUUCACCUGAGAUACAAACGAAACGAAUUUAAAUGACCCAAGCCGAGAUUAAAUGAAUCGUUAGAUUUAAAACUCAUUAAUUACAAUAGAUAAAAAGAUUAGGACAGUUAUAAUAAAUUCAUGAUAAUCUAAUGUAAAACAGACGACCUCACCAGAGACCGUUCAGAACUUAUUUCGUGCCGCGCGUGAUUUCAUAAUUUAUAGCGACUGACCUUUGGAAAUAUUUGUGCAAACUACAUGUAUUGAUUUUAUUUGUGCAUGGUUUGUAUCUGUACUUGUGUUUUUAAUUAUUACGAAGGACCAAAAAUGGAGAUUGAAUUGAAAAGGCACACUGUUCAUUGUAUCUAGUUUACACAUAUCUCAUACCG